GAAUAUAUGCUUCUCGCUAACAAACAACAAUUUGCAUAAACGGUAUGUCUAAAAAAACAUAUUUUAUAAGGUUCCUAAACAUACAUAGUUCAGACUAUUAUGCUUCCACCAUGACAAGUGGAUUUAUAUUGAUCAAUACAUCCUAAUACUUCUCAAACUUGUCCUUCAUACUUCUUGCUUGUUUCAGUACUUUUAGAAUUAUACAAAGACUGCAGAGACUAGAAGAAAUUAGGGAACCACUCUCUUUGAUGAGGAGAAGGAGAAGUAGAUGAAAUGAGAGAUUGCUACAUUUUUCAUCACUCGUGACUGCAGGCUGCAGCUCUUACCUGUUACAAUCAAUAAUAUCACGGCCAAACAAAAUCGACAAUACAGAACAACAACUAGAGCAGUUAAUCUAAUUAUUCAAACUGACCCAAAAUGUGACAGAAAAGAGGAGCUUUCGACACCAGAGAACUUCGCUCUCUUUCUGAGCACUUCAGCUUGAUCUUCCCCUUGUCCUCAAUUACUCCAUUUCUUAGCUCUGUUUCUUCUCCUCCAUGUGUCAUCUCAGUAGCAAGUCUGGCGUCACUCAUCCCUUAGCCAUCCAAAAAACUGUAGUAUGUAGCAAUACCUGCAAUUAAAGAACAAAUUAACAAAAGGUAGGACAGAGAAACCACCACUGAAAAUCUGAGAAUUUAUUGAGUAUUAUAAUCAUGAACUCCAGUCUUUCUUUUUCCAUUACCGAUAUACAUGGUAUAUGACUCUCAUUUAGUCCAUUAAACACAUCAACUCUUCUAGACAACAGAACUAACCUAAGUACACCAAACCUAUAGAUAUUAAUUUUCUCUACAACUCUAAAUAUCUUUUGUUGUCAAUUGGCUCUCAUAUCAAAUUUACACUUCCUACACACAUAAAAAACAAACAUCUUCACCAUUUAUUUCAAAUUCAUAUGCAACAAUUCCCAUUACACUAGCAUAAUCUAAUCAUCUAAAUACAAAAAUUGCAGACAUCAAUACAUAAUUAGCAACCAAUUCAUCAAAAACUAAUUUUUGCCAAAUUCAAAAACCCCCAAUACCAGGAAAGAGAACAAAGAGUUGUAAAGUCAUCUCCAUUUUGAACAUCAAUACUAAUUUCAAAUCGUGAUUUUGUCUCUUCAAAACUGAAAAACCAUCUUCUAGAAGGGGGGAGAGAGAGAGAUAGAGAGAGAGAGAGAGCUUCUUUUACCAUCCUUAAAAAUCACGAUGGUUGUAGACAGUGUAUGAGAUCUGAAGAGAAUCUCAACGAUGACGGCAACAACGGAGAUCGAUGAUGACGACAAAUCUGAAGAGAAGGUCAACGAUGACGGUGAUGGCGAAGCUCGAUGAUGACGACGACGGCGAAGCUCAACGAUGAUGACGACGACGGUGAAGCUCAAUGACAAGGAUAGAAGAAGAUGUCUGCGUUGCUUU
rnacentral:lncRNA from 1 species